rnacentral:rRNA from 1 species
UCGCGGUUGAUGAGCAAGUCGGUCCCACCCCUUCCCAUCCCGAACAGGACCGUGAAACGACUUUGCGCCGAUGAUAGUGCUGCAACCAGUGUGAAAGUAGGUUAUCGUCAGGCU